rnacentral:rRNA from 1 species
AUUCCAGCUCCAAUAGCGUAUAUUAAAGUUGUUGCAGUUAAAAAGCUCGUAGUUGGAUUUGUGGUUGGGUCCGUCGGUCCGGCACAUUGUGCGGGUACUUGAUGGACUCGUCCAUCCUUGGGUGGAAUCUGUGUGGCAUUAAGUUGUCGUGCAGGGGAUGCCCAUCGUUUACUGUGAAAAAAUUAGAGUGUUCAAAGCAGGCUUAUGCCGUUGAAUAUAUUAGCAUGGAAUAAUGAGAUAGGACCUUGGUACUAUUUUGUUGGUUUGCGCACCGAGGUAAUGAUUAAUAGGGACAGUUGGGGGUAUUCGUAUUCCAUUGUCAGAGGUGAAAUUCUUGGAUUUUUGGAAGACGAACUACUGCGAAAGCAUUUACCAAGGAUGUUUUCAUUG